AGUCCUUAUUUGAUUAUUUUCCACUGUCUUAAAAAAAAAAGUCCUUAUUUAUUUGAUGCCUUUGUUGAUUUUCUUCAUAAUUUUAUUAUCUAUAUAUGCCUCCGUCUCCUCUUUUCUUCCUCGUACGCUUAAUUGCUGCUUACUCCUUCUCUUUCCAUGUUUCCAUGCCUCCUAGUUAUACCCUUUUCCUUUGGUCACCUAUGGCGGCCUUAAGAUUUUAUCUGGAUAGAGAUCGAGGUCUCUAUACCUCUAUAAAUUCCAGAAGUUGUCUAUGAGAGAUGCAUCUAGGGCUGCAGCCCGUGUAGAUAUAUGUAUAUAAUGUGUUCUGGGAAGAAGGAGCUCUCUUCAGUCCAGUCCAAGGCAGUUGAAGGCUGAAACUUAGCUGCUGAGUCGUUGGUUCAAGAGCUCAUCAUAUACAUAAGCAGAAAGUGAGAUGUGUUUUUGAUCCAACGAAGCAGGAGCUAUGUUCAGUUAUGGCUGUCGUGUCUUGGACUGAAGGGAGCUCCCUCUCGAUCCAAUUGUCUACUACAGCAGAUCUAAGAAGUUAUUGAAAGUUUUCUCGGAUGUGAGGGCCGCCAUGGGAGAGUCUUUUAGGUCGCUAGAUGAAGCUGCUGCGUGCUACCUGCUGUGGAGGCUGUGUAUGAAUUGUUGCUCAAGUUUUUGUGAACUAUAUUUCAUAUUUUAACUGGCAUUCUUGUAAUAUUGGCCUUGCUUAAAUAGAUAUUUGCCCAUUACAAUGUCGAAA